rnacentral:rRNA from 1 species
AGUGAACGCUGGCGGUAGGCCUAACACAUGCAAGUCGAACGGCAGCACAGUAAGAGCUUGCUCUUACGGGUGGCGAGUGGCGGACGGGUGAGGAAUACAUCGGAAUCUACUUUUUCGUGGGGGAUAACGUAGGGAAACUUACGCUAAUACCGCAUACGACCUACGGGUGAAAGCAGGGGAUCUUCGGACCUUGCGCGAUUGAAUGGGCCGAUGUCGGAUUAGCUAGUUGGCGUGGUAAAGGCCCACCAAGGCGACGAUCCGUAGCUGGUCUGAGAGGAUGAUCAGCCACACUGGAACUGAGACACGGUCCAGACUCCUACGGGAGGCAGCAGUGGGGAAUAUUGGACAAUGGGCGCAAGCCUGAUCCAGCCAUACCGCGUGGGUGAAGAAGGCCUUCGGGUUGUAAAGCCCUUUUGUUGGGAAAGAAAAGCAGCAGGUUAAUACCCCGCUGUUCUGACGGUACCCAAAGAAUAAGCACCGGCUAACUUCGUG